rnacentral:antisense_RNA from 1 species
AGGAGGCGGCGGGUCUUCGGGCCUAGGCGAGCGCCGGGUCUCCCGACGGAAAUUACCGAAGGCUGGCAGAGGCGCCGAAGCCGGGAGUGGUGGAGCCGGAGGGGAUAGUGGGGGUGGGGAAUUCCGGCCGAAGGAGCGAAUCCGGGUCGGACUGCGUGAUUUCGGCUCGGUGGGGGUGGGCAGGGUGCGCGCCUGCCGCGCGCCCAGGUUAGGUGUGUCCGCUCUUUUCACACUCGCGGCCGGCGCGCGCGGGCACGCGGCAGAGGAGGGGGCGCGGCGCGGAAGGGCCGGCGGAGGCGGCGGGAGCGCCGGCGCUUGGUGUGCGCGCCCUGGGUGGUGUCCCCCGCCUGCGGAAUGGGUAAUGAGGCUUUUCUCCGCAGCAACAGCAUCACGAGUUUCAGUUCCCAGGAGCCCGCCGCCGCGGCUGCUGCCGCUGCCACGACAUGAGUCAGGCUUUCUUCCCUGGCGCGUGGCGGAAACCUCCUCCCCCUCGCCGCACCUGGGCUCGCCCCCGGCCCUUGCCUCCUCGGGGGAUGCCCUAGGGCCGGGAGCUGUGGGGUCUACUGAAGGCCGGUGGCUCCCGGUGAUAGGUGUUGUCUUUUGUGCAGUGCAGUUGCUGCCAUGCGGUCCCCUCGCCCUUCCACGAGCGGGGGCGAGGCGGCCGGGCAGAUGUUGCAGCUGUUUCCAGUUAACUGCCUGAGCUCCUCUGGGCUAGGCUCUUCUCUAACGAGGAGUGGUUGCAAUCCAUCCUUAACUGGAGGACAGAAGCAGGCCGGCCCUGUAAUCGACUGACCUCAACAGGUGUCUCCAAGCAGCGACGCCUUUUUCGUUCAUCGUCCUGGCUAUAUCCCCCAUUGGUUUGACUCAGGAGGCAAGGUGGUCCGGACAUGUGAGCAACACAAAUGAUAAGAAUGCCUUUUAGGGCUAGAAAAGAAAAAGCCAUCCGAAAUUCCAGUUUAAAAAUACACACACACACACACGUUACAUUUCAUGGGUCCAACUGUAGUUCUACAGAAGCAAUGUUAGGUUUGAUUGGGGGCAAUUUACUGGCGGUUACUUUCUUGGUAUUUCAUGUCAAAACCUAGUUCUAAGCGUUUCUUACCAAUAAUCGAGAAUGUAAGUCUUUCCCAGGAAUUUAAAAAUGAUAAAGCAAGCCGAAAAACUGUAGGGAGGAAUUUUCAUUUUGUUAAAUUUAGGUUGUUAGGGGAAUCAACGCUUAUGGUUAGACCUCUGAUUCAGGAAGUCUCAAGGAUUUACAUUCCUAUUUCAGAAGAUUGUUAAAGCAAAAACGAUUGUCAUUUGCAGUUUUGAUACACCUCUAGUUGUCAGUUCAACUUUUUACCUUUAGUUUUCUCUGAACUCUUCCUCUUGCUCCAAGGGGAGGCCUUCAAAAAGUGAAUUAUGUCACCAUUUGCAUGUUAUUGAAUAGAAGUGCACUCUUAACAUCCCAUUUAUCCAGUGUCAAAGCUAUGAUACAUUGUUGCUUUAUGUGGGGUCUCCCACACUGAAAAGAAAAAUCCGGACUUCAUUUAUUUAUUUAUUUAUUUAUUUAUUUAUUUUUUACUUUAUAUUGCUAAUGUAAACCUCUGCUAGAAGUAAAUAGGCUCUCGCAAAUAUUCAAAGUGAUACAGUAAUAAACAUCAAAUAUGUUUGAGAAGA